rnacentral:rRNA from 1 species
CCCGCUGAACUUAAGCAUAUCAAUAAGCGGAGGAAAAGAAACUAACAAGGAUUCCCCUAGUAACUGCGAGUGAAGCGGGAAAAGCUCAAAUUUAAAAUCUGGCAGUCUUUUGAUUGUCCGAGUUGUAAUCUAGAGAAGUGCUAUCCGUGCUGGACCAUGUACAAGUCUCCUGGAAUGGAGCGUCACAGAGGGUGAGAAUCCCGUCUCUGACAUGGACUACCAGUGCAUUGUGAUGUGCUCUCAAAGAGUCGAGUUGUUUGGGAAUGCAGCUCUAAAUGGGUGGUAAAUUCCAUCUAAAGCUAAAUAUUGGCGAGAGACCGAUAGCGAACAAGUACCGUGAGGGAAAGAUGAAAAGAACUUUGGAAAGAGAGUUAAACAGUACGUGAAAUUGUUGAAAGGGAAACGCUUGAAGUCAGUCACGUUGGCUGGAGAUCAACCUUGCUUCUGCUUGGUGCAUUUUCCAGUUGAUGGGCCAGCAUCAAUUUUGAUCAGUGGAUAAAGGUCAGGGGAAUGUGGCAUCUCUGGAUGUGUGAUAGCCCUUGGUUGUAUACAUUGGUUGGGAUUGAGGAACUCAGCAUGCCGCAAGGCCAGGUUUUUUUUAAACCAUGUUCAUGCUUAGGAUGCUGGCAUAAUGGCUUUAAUCGACCCGUCUUGAAACACGG